GAUGAACGCUAGCGAUAGGCCUAACACAUGCAAGUCGAGGGGCAGCAUAGAGUAGCAAUACUUUGAUGGCGACCGGCGCACGGGUGAGUAACACGUAUGCAACCUACCUACAUCAGGGGAAUAACCCGGAGAAAUUCGGACUAAUACCGCAUAAUACAGGGAUGCCGCAUGGCAAUAUUUGUUAAAGAUUUAUCGGAUGGAGAUGGGCAUGCGUUCCAUUAGCUUGUUGGUGAGGUAACGGCUCACCAAGGCAACGAUGGAUAGGGGAACUGAGAGGUUUGUCCCCCACACUGGAACUGAGACACGGACCAGACUCCUACGGGAGGCAGCAGUGAGGAAUAUUGGUCAAUGGACGAGAGUCUGAACCAGCCAAAUCGCGUGAAGGAAGACUGCCCUACGGGUUGUAAACUUCUUUUGUACAGGAAUAAAAGACAUUACGUGUAAUGUAUUGCAUGUACUGUACGAAUAAGCAUCGGCUAACUCCGUGCCAGCAGCCGCCGCGG
rnacentral:rRNA from 1 species